AUAAUCUCAAAAAUUUUAAAAUUAUUUAACUUUAAAUUAUAAACAUGCCAUUGGAGAAAGCAUUUCAUCACAUACAUUCUUUACUGGCCACCCUUUUGCCUGAUCUGUACCCACCCAAAUGGCAUUUAUUCCCCAAUAUUCAUGAGAAAUGUAGGCAACAGGCACAGUAAUAAGGGAGGAAACAACUCACACAGCCCCCCCCCCGAUAUCUUUACGGUGCAUUUGGUAAGAGGUGCCUCAAGUCUUGGGAAAUAGGAGCUUUUCAGUUCACUGUGAAAACCUAUCUAGCAAAGCCAUGCUGUGGCGUAGGGAUGGGAAAAGCCAGUUCUGGCCGCAAAAAAGCCUGCAGGGAAAAUACUUUGCCACUCACAUACCAGUAUCUCCCCAUUAUACCCAUAUUUACUAAGGCUGCUGCUUCUGAGGGCGUCUUGAGAUCUCUGGGUUUAGGGGAAGAUAGAAAUCAGCCAAGAGAUUUAGUGUUUCAAAAGUUUUGAUGUAAACUGCCUGUUUGCAAGCUUUUACAGGGUGAGAAAAAUACUUUUCAUUCUUGUGCACAGCUGCUACCGUGGAGUCCUGGCCCUUAAGCAAGGCAGCGAGGUGGUUGUGGUACCAGUAAAUGCCCCAGCUCACAGGCGACGGCGAGUACAGGAACCAACGCAGCAGAGUUGUUCUUUGCGUUGCGAGACUUCCUAAUUACUGGAACAUUUCCCAGAAAUCUGCGCUGGACAGAUGUAGUUCAACUUCAAAUCCAGGAAAUCAUUCUUGUCAAAGUUCAUGUCAUUCAGAUGCACCCAAAUGUUAUGUAUUCCAGGUGUGCCCAGGCAUCUGGCCAGCUCGACUCACAACAUCACAACAGAGGUGUUUUGUUUGGGUUUUUUUUUUCAAACCAGCAGAUUUACAGGGUUUUGAGAUGGCGUAGGUAUUUAAUUGCUGACCCUCCCAGGGGAUCUACCCGUGUGCUGGGCUGCUGCAGCUGAUGCUGGAUCAGCAGACCUCUACAAAAUGAACAACCUUUCACAGCAUUGCAGUGAGACUAACUGAGACCAGCAAGCAGAAGAGGGGAGAGGAAAGAAACAUUGUCCAAGGACAACAGGAGAAACCUCAGCAUCAUAAUAAGCCAAUAUCUGUGGAAAAUAUGAUCAGUUGUUGGUGGAUUCUUUUUAAUUGUAGGGUGUUUUUUUGAUGUUUAAGCUCUCAAAUGGCUUCUCUGCCACAAACUGCACCACUCAGCUUAUUUAAGUUGGAAUGGUUGCGUUGCCUUGAUAUGGAAUGACUGAUCCUGCCAUCUUUGGAGACUAAACGACAUUUCUGUCUUCCCAGGUGGACUAGAAGAGUCAAAGAUGACAGGACACUUUCAGCCCACUGAAGGAAGAUAUUACAAUGCAAGAGGGUGGAAGACUGAGUUGCAAAUCUGCAGGAACCCUUGACUUCCCCAGAGAAAUUUUGUAGCCAAAUAUAGAUGUCCAAUUCCAUAGCAGGUUGGCAGCUUUCUAAUGUUAUUUGUGGUGUUUGAAGAAGUAUUAUUUCCCAAAGGCACUUACGGUGUUCUCUUUACUCAAGCCCACCACAUGCUGUAGUCAUUUUCUAAAUUCAGUUUGUAUUCUACCUCCUAAAACCAAGGAUGACUCAGCUCUACCUCUGCAACCUCUAACGUGCACAUAUCUAUUACGUAGAGCUAGUACAAAUUAUAUGAUCCACCAUUUAAGGCUUCAAUCGAGGUUUUUAAUUGAGAGCUGUAUAACUUUACCAUGCACAGGCUAGAUCAAUUUUUUGCUUUAAUUUGUGGAUUUUAAGAGAAUGGUGAGAGAAUAUUCAAAGACUUUCUCACUUCUGUGAACUCAUUCUCCAGGUACUGGCAGGAUCUUAGCAUAUGGGUUUGCUAAAGUUGCUGCUCCCAGUGAUUUUAAUGGUACCAGACACAUUCCUUGCUUGACUUGUUUGCCCUUUUUAUCAAGAGUUUAACAUCGCCCUUUCAGGGCACUUCUUUGCAUAAAUAUGUUCUUGUUUACAUAGUUGUGGUCUUGCAAGUGAUAAUGGGCAGAGCUGUUCACCUGAAACAUGUUUUACAGAAUAAACAGUAGCAGCCAAAGGUGUGAGGAUGAGAUUCUCAGCGCUUUGUUAGCACAGAUGGACUGGGAAAAGGGCACUAAAAGCCUUGGAAACAAGCAUAUAAAAUGGGAUUCUUGGACGGAAAUGUAAGAUGCCACCUACCUAACAGGGUUAACAGGAAAGGUGUUCUAGGGAAUGCCGCAGCCUUGCAGCCUUCAUUCGAAGUGGUACUGUUGUCACAGACAGCAGGUAAGUACCAGUUCUCAUCUCGAAUAUAUCUACACGGUAAAUUAACCAUGACCAUUGCGAGUGUCAACAUACCUGCAGUAGCGUAAACUGCCGUUGACUAGGACUUAUCUGAGAGCAGCCGUUUCCAGAGCCUUUCCCGGCUGAAAGCAUUUAGUUUUUUUCAGCUGCUAGCAUCACAUUGAUGUUUUGCUGGAGACUCUUUCUCAAUCUCCCUUCCUCCCUGCCACCUAACAGUCAUAUGAAUUAAUUGCACAUAAAGCUCUCGAUGACCACCAAGGAAAGAACAAGAUCUGGUGGGUUAGAACUGUUCUGCCUGGGGAGGACUGAUCUCUGUAUGAAGGGGAAUCUGUUAUCCUAGAACUUCUUGCUGCUUGUUUUUUAGGUGGUGCACCUGAGCACUGAUUGCCUCGCUUUUGAAGCAGAAUAUACUGUGUUGCAGCCUCGCGGCAGGACUUCAGCUCUUACACGCUGGUGUGUCUGCGGUGUAGUACUAGGAGCAGGGCUACGCUACUGGAGCUGAGAAUGCCGCUGAGGCCGUACCUCGUGCUUAUCUGUGAGGUUUCCUCAAAAGUAACCAGAUUGAAACGGCUUUUUGGAAAAAUGAGGGUAAGACCAUUGUAAUUGGAGCUGUCUCAGUAAAAAUACUUCCAAAAUGAAUCAAGUCUCUGGUAUGCCGUGCUUGCGUAUGGGGAUGCUGCUUUCUUUUGUGUUAACAGUGUCCUCCCAUAACCUAUUUUGUCUGCACAGGAUGAGGCAGAGGGGUAGGUGUAUUCUGGCUGUGCAGUUGCUCUGACCUCUGACAGAGGCACCACGUGGCAGUGGAAAUUCAGACUCUCAUGAGGCCUUCACGCUUUGCAUGCCGCUGUACUUACACCAUUUGUGACUGGAUUGCAAGUGGUGCUCAGUAACCUGCAGCCGAUUACUUCAGUUUCUGCUCUGCCCCAAAAAUCAGGUCUUCACGUACCCCAAACUAACAAGCCCUUUUUUUGCAGCUGUUUCACCACCAUGAAAAUAUGUUAGCUAAGAGGCCUUGCAACCAUUAAUUCUCACCAAGCACUAUGUAAAUAUUAAGUAAUAAAAGUAUAUUAAUUUAUAUAGCACUUUAAAUGCUAUAUAAAUUCAACCUCAAAUGAAAGCCCCUAUCCAGAGAUUUAUAAAGAGCUUGUACAUUUUGGCCUGGGAAGAAAGAAAAAUGCCUCCUAUUUUAAGAAAAGGGAAAAGCUUAACUCAGAAUGUCCUGUUAAUUACUCAUGUAUUCACAUUGCACAAUAAAGUAUUUACAUAAAAAUGUAUCCGUUUUCAAAAAGAACUUGUUAACUCCAUUUUCCAACUGAAUUUGGCCAAGUUGAAAAGAAAAUUAUAUAUGCUAGAGGACUGCAGUAAAAGAGAUUUAGGGGUUUUCAAAUACUAUAAAAAAGAGACUAUAAUAAGUGACUAGUGGACCAGUCAGCUGCUUUAAUUAAAACUGGGCUGCUUAUUGAUCUAUCGUACAGAUUUACCCCCAUCUGCAACAUUUCAGCAAUAUUCCCUUCAACCACUUCAGAAAAUAGUGCUUGUAAGAGACACUAAAGAAUAUGAAAGUUGGGAACGGAAAUGUUUUAUAACUAUGCGACGUUUUGUACAAAGAUGAAUUUUUUUUUUUUCAUUCUUUUUAUAAGUAACAUGGUGAAAUUAAAAUAGCGUCAAUGCAAAUUUGGUGCAAUUGAUUUUAAAGCCAGAAAUGUGUCUUUUAAUAGUGGCACCAGCUGUGGCAGAACAUCAGCACUGAAAGAAACCGGUGCCAUGCUCCAGUUGUUCAAAGAAAUCAGAGGCACGGCUGUUUCACACCGACCAGAGCACAAACUGGAGAAGGUGGUGGUGAUGAUGAUGAUGAUGUGUGCUGGUUUUAAUUAAAUUCAUGGAGAGCUUUGCUAUGCUUGGAGAGGUUGGCAGCC